rnacentral:rRNA from 1 species
UACGUAGGUGGCAAGCGUUGUCCGGAUUUACUGGGCGUAAAGGGCGUGCAGGCGGUUUGUUAAGUGCAGGGUGAAAGCUCCCGGCUCAACUGGGAGAGGUCCUUGCAUACUGGCGAACUCGAGGGAGGCAGAGGAAAGUGGAAUUCCCGGUGUAGUGGUGAUAUGCGUAGAUAUCGUAAGGAAGACCAGUGGCGAAGGCGACUACCUGGCCUGUUUCUUGACGCUGAGGCGCGAAAGCUAGGGGAGCAAACGGG